rnacentral:rRNA from 1 species
UACGGAGGGUGCAAGCGUUAUCCGGAAUCACUGGGUUUAAAGGGUGCGUAGGCGGUCAGAUAAGUCAGUUGUGAAAUUCUCCGGCUUAACCGGGUGAACUGCGAUUGAUACUGUUUGACUUGAAUCAAGUUGAGGUAAGCGGAAUGUGACAUGUAGCGGUGAAAUGCUUAGAUAUGUCAUAGAACACCGAUUGCGAAGGCAGCUUGCUGGGCUUGUAUUGACGCUGAGGCACGAAAGCGUGGGGAGCAAACAGG